rnacentral:tmRNA from 1 species
GGGGAUGUCGGGUUUCGACAGGCGGACAGAUUGAAGAAUUGCAGGUCGAGGUGUCGGUAUGCACUCUCGUUAAACAACCGACAAAACAAUAGUUGCCAAUAAACAAGCAACACCUCAACUCGCUCUCGCUGCCUAAUAACCAGUGAAGCGUCGUUCGCCCGGCUUUUUCUCGUGGGGCCGGAUGCGAGCGUCAUACACACGAGGUGCGAUAACGACCACCGCCUUCUAAUCGUUGUCUAAGACCAGAGGGCCAGCGUUAAGGAAUCCUGUCAGUGGGAGGCCUUAGCGAAAUGCAAAAACGCUGACUAAACCUGUAGUACAUUCUCCGAUAAGUUCGGUUGGACAGGGAGUUCAACUCUCCCUCAUCUCCACCA